rnacentral:ncRNA from 1 species
GGCGAUAACGGCAAACCCGCCGCAAGUCGGGGGCGCAAAGCCACGAGCCCCAUGAGGGGUGGUCAGGUUGCCGAAC